GAUGAACGCUGGCGGCGUGCCUAAUACAUGCAAGUCGAGCGAACGGACGAGAAGCUUGCUUCUCUGAUGUUAGCGGCGGACGGGUGAGUAACACGUGGAUAACCUACCUAUAAGACUGGGAUAACUUCGGGAAACCGGAGCUAAUACCGGAUAAUAUUUUGAACCGCAUGGUUCAAAAGUGAAAGACGGUCUUGCUGUCACUUAUAGAUGGAUCCGCGCUGCAUUAGCUAGUUGGUAAGGUAACGGCGUACCAAGGCAACGAUGCAUAGCCGACCUGAGAGGGUGAUCGGCCACACUGGAACUGAGACACGGUCCAGACUCCUACGGGAGGCAGCAGUAGGGAAUCUUCCGCAAUGGGCGAAAGCCUGACGGAGCAACGCCGCGUGAGUGAUGAAGGUCUUCGGAUCGUAAAACUCUGUUAUUAGGGAAGAACAUAUGUAUAAGUAACUGUGCACAUCUUGACGGUACCUAAUCAGAAAGCCACGGCUAACUACGUG
rnacentral:rRNA from 1 species